AGCUUGGUGCAAAGCAGGCACAAAUGUCCACAUGCAGCCAGGGUGCUGACUGAGGUGACCAGUUUGCUUGAGUUUUCAUACUCUGCACUCUCCAGUGGAACAGCAGCUGCAGGACUCUUAUUUUUGUGAUGUGGAGCAUGUCUGGGUGUGUGGCAGGGGGAACUGAAAUAGUCUCUGCUGACUUUUUGUACCUACAGAUUUUGUUUCAUUGCUCAUUUUGGAAAAGGGAAGCCCUUAUAGGGGCCAAAUUAAUGGUUUUUCUGUAAAUGAUUUUUUUUCCCCCUCAAACUCCAUUGGCUUGACUUCCAGUGGUAUAGAAAGGCAAUAUGGUGAACUUCUCAGCCCGAAAAAGGAGAUCUCCAAUCAGGGCCGAGAGGCUCAUGCUAAGGUGGAAAGAUUUUCCUCCGUGAUGGACUCUUGGAUACCUACGGGAGAUUUAAAAGGCCCUCAGACCACAGGAUUAAUGGUUGGUGUGAAAGGUACCAACUGCAAGUUUCAACUUGCAAAAACACUUGGCCGUUGGGCUCCUUUGGAAUCGUCUUGAAGCUUCAGAUUCUGAUAUUUCAUGAG
rnacentral:sRNA from 1 species